CGGGAUGAAAAGCAGAUGUGUGGGCUGUGAGGAAGCCUAACGGUCAUCUGUGCGCGCGGCUGCGGCUCGCCUGCCGGUCAGCGCUCCUCACAACGGGGCUGUGGGAAAAAGUAGAAUUAAAGGUGUUUUUCUCUCUCAAAUGUUUGUGAGUGAUCCUCGUCCCAGGAGUUGAGCUUUCCUUGUGACAAACACGAGCCAGUGCAGCCAAGAGGCAGUUCUCUGAGGCGAUGCAGCAGUCUCAGACGUGCAUGUUUGCCCCCUUUGCUUCUUUUUGGUCACAAGAACACUACUUCAAGAAACCGUUUUUGAUCCUAAACUAUCACGUCGAGCUAGGACUGCAGGACACAGCCAGACACCGUGAAACAGGACCGCACUCCAGCCCUGCAAAGACAACGUGGCCCGGGGUUAGGCACCCAGCAGGAGGAUCCAGCUUGACAUUUGAAAGGUAAGAUGGCACUUAAGUGAGCCCCUUUGCUUAGGCGUAACCCUCAAGUACGCAUAGCCUACG
rnacentral:lncRNA from 1 species